rnacentral:rRNA from 1 species
UUAGAGUUUGAUUCCUGGCUCAGAACGAACGCUGGCGGCGUGGAUUAGGCAUGCAAGUCGAACGGGACUUUAGCUUUUUCGAAGUCUAGUGGCGAAAGGGUGAGUAACACGUGGGUUACCUGCCCUCGGGAUUGGGAUAACCUGUCGAAAGACGGGCUAAUACCGGAUACGUCCUGCUAUGAAUAAUGGCUGGAGAAAGGAUGGGGAUUCGCAAGAACCUAUCGUCCUUGGAUGGGCCCGCGGCCUAUCAGCUAGUUGGUGAGGUAAUGGCUCACCAAGGCUAAGACGGGUAGCUGGUCUGAGAGGAUGGUCAGCCACACUGGGACUGAGACACUGCCCAGACACCUACGGGUGGCUGCAGUCGAGAAUCUUUCGCAAUGGGGGAAACCCUGACGAAGCGACGCCGCGUGCAGGAUGAAGGCCUUCGGGUUGUAAACUGCUGUCAGCUGGGAA